UACGAAGGGGGCUAGCGUUGCUCGGAAUCACUGGGCGUAAAGCGCACGUAGGCGGACUCUUAAGUCAGGGGUGAAAUCCUGGAGCUCAACUCCAGAACUGCCUUUGAUACUGAAGAUCUUGAGUCCGGGAGAGGUGAGUGGAACUGCGAGUGUAGAGGUGAAAUUCGUAGAUAUUCGGAAGAACACCAGUGGCGAAGGCGGCUCACUGGUCCGGUACUGACGCUGAGGUGCGAAAGCGUGGGGAUCAAACAGG
rnacentral:rRNA from 1 species